rnacentral:rRNA from 1 species
GACGAACGCUGGCGGCGUGCUUAACACAUGCAAGUCGAACGGAAAGGCCCUGCGUUUGUGGGGUGCUCGAGUGGCGAACGGGUGAGUAACACGUGAGUAACCUGCCCUUGACUUUGGGAGAACUUCAGGAAACUGGGUCUAAUACCGGAGAGGAGCUCCUGCGGCAUGGGGGGGGUUGUAAAGUUUCGGCGGUUGGGGAUGGACUCGCGGCUUAUCAGCUUGUUGGUGGGGUAGUGGCUUACCAAGGCUUUGACGGGUAGCCGGCCUGAGAGGGUGACCGGCCACAUUGGGACUGAGAUACGGCCCAGACUCCUACGGGAGGCAGCAGUGGGGAAUAUUGCACAAUGGGCGGAAGCCUGAUGCAGCAACGCCGCGUGCGGGAUGACGGCCUUCGGGUUGUAAACCGCUUUCGCCUGUGACGAAGCGUGAGUGACGGUAAUGGGUAAAGAAGCACCGGCUAACUACGUG